GACGUAGGGCGCGAGCGUUGUCCGGAAUUAUUGGGCGUAAAGAGCUCGUAGGCGGUCUGUCGCGUCUGCUGUGAAAACCUAGGGCUUAACUCUGGGCGUGCAGUGGGUACGGGCAGGCUAGAGUGCGGUAGGGGAGACUGGAAUUCCUGGUGUAGCGGUGAAAUGCGCAGAUAUCAGGAGGAACACCGGUGGCGAAGGCGGGUCUCUGGGCAGUAACUGACGCUGAGGAGCGAAAGCGUGGGGAGCGAACAGG
rnacentral:rRNA from 1 species